rnacentral:lncRNA from 1 species
UAGCAGUAUCUCUGCGAAAAUCCAUAGAAGUAUCGGAACCGGCUGUGGAUAUGGGAAAAAGAAAAUCCCUAAAAUGCAUCUCUGAAACAAUGGCAUUUUUUCAGUGAAUGAACUAAGGAUAGCAGGUGCCACUGUUCCAGAUUGUACUAAUUCUCUGAAAAUUGAUUUGUUUUUCUGUAGCAAGUUGUCGUAUGAAUUUCAAAAAGGAACUAUUCUCUGAAAAUUGUUUCGUAUUUCUGUAGCAAUUUAUUGUAUAGAUUCUGAACACUGUUCAAGGAAAUCAGCAGCUGCCAUUGUUCGGAGAAUGAGCUAAUUCUCUGAAAAUCGUUUUGUUUUUCUGUAGCAAGUUAAUGUAUGAAAUCUGAAUUUGUUCAAAGAAAUCAGCAGCUGCCCUUAUUUUACAUCAGUUUACCCCCUCUUAGUAGAAAGGAACAACUCAUUUCUCUCGCUACUCCUAAUUUUGUGUUUGUGCUUUUGUGCAGGAGGAGGAAUUGAUUCUCAGACCACAAAAACAACAGAACAACAGGGAUGAUAUUCAGGUUUACAUAUCUCCAUAGGGAAUCGGAACCGGCUGUGGAUGUGGGAAAAAGAAAAUCCCUAAAUGCAUCUCUGAAACAAUGGCAUUUUUUCAGUGAAUGAACUAAGACUAGCAGUUCAUUUUUAUUCUGUUGGGGGAAUCUAUUUUGGACGAAAUUCUGAACACUUUUCAAUGUGAUAGCAGCUGCCACUAUCUCAAGAAUGUACUAUUUCUCUGAAAAUCGCUUUGUUUUUCUGUAGCAAGUUGUCAUAUGAAUUCUGACAGCAAACUGUCAUUUGUUCAAGAAGGAAUUAUUUUCUGAAUUUUUUUUGUAUUUCUGUAGCAAUUUAUUGUAUGAAUUCUGAACACUGUGCAAGGAAAUCAGCAGCUGCCAUUGUUCAGAGAAUGAGCUAAUUCUCUGAACAUCGCUUUGUUUUUC